rnacentral:rRNA from 1 species
AUACGGAGGAUGCAAGCGUUAUCCGGAUUUACUGGGCGUAAAGCGCACGCAGGCUGACUUAUAAGUCGGUAGUCUAAUGCGGAGGCUCAACUUCCGUUUAUCUAUCGAUACUGUAAGACUAGAGUAUGUGAGAGGGAAGUGGAAUUCCCGGUGUAGCGGUGAAAUGCGUAGAUAUCAUGAAGAACUCCGAUUGCGAAGGCAGUCCGCUGGGGCACGUCUGACGCUGAUGCUCGAAGGUGCGGGAAUCAAACAGGAUUAGAUACCCUGGUAGUCCGCACGGUAAACGAUGAUUACCCGCUGUCGGCGGUAGACAGUCGGCGGCCAAGCGAAAGCGAUAAGUAAUCCACCUGGGGAGUACGCCGGCAACGGUGAAACUCAAAUGAAUUGACGGGG